rnacentral:lncRNA from 1 species
GUAGGGCAAGAGGAUGGGGCACAAGAGUUGGCCUAUGCAACUUUCCUCUUGGAUACUAAAAUUGUUUUGUUUUGUUUUGCUAUUGUCGUAGAUUAAUUUUUCACCAAAAAUAACCUGUAAAGAAAAAAUGUCACAGGACUAGGCAUAUAAUUAUAUGAGGAACAGUAGGCAAAGACUUGGGCUUGAAUCCUUACUCUGCCACCAGCAGAGUCAUUUAGAGCAAGUGGAUUAAUCUCUUUGACUAUCCUCAGUAGAACACAGAUGUCAAUAAUGCCUACUUUAUGUGGUCUGGGGGAGUAUUAUUAGCAUAUAAAGUCAUACUGUCACUUUAUUUAAAAUGUUAUUUUCAUUUCUACUAUUCUUAAUAACACACAAAAGGGGCUCCAUACAUUUUAAAUUGUUCGUACAAACUAAACGGGCUUUUAUAAGGGGCCCUUCUAACCACUUCUGCUUCCCUUCAGUUUAUGAGGCAAUUCAUGGUGUUUAAAACAACAUCUAAUUCACUGCAGAAUUGAACGGUGUCCCACACCAACAUAAAAGAAAAGUUACAAAAUGCCACUGAAACUGCUGCAGGAUACACCAUCAAGAUUUCCCCCCCACAGUCUAGUUUCUCGAAAAUGUGUCACCAUCAUCUUUUAAAAUCCACUUAACAAUCUACAAGGGAGAGAUUAUUAUAUGUCCAGCCAUGUGGUAAUGCAGUUUCCAGGAAUCGAGAAAAAUAUAUAUAUAAUACAUUUGUUAUCAUUGACAGCAGCCCAUAUGCCUGAGCAUUUGCUUUCCACAGUUUCUGAGAAACAUGCUGGAAAAAAAAAAAUGCUGAACCCAAACAUGAUCCCAGAUCCCUGACACGACACUGUAGCCAGGACCUCUAGCCAUGCAGUUUACCCCUCCGGCCCUAAGACAACACUGUGCCACCCCCAGACUUCCAUCUUACUCCCACAUGGUUUGGUCUCUCUGUGUUGCUCUGCAGAAGCCUUCUCUCAGGUGCUGAGCAUCACUGCAUCAGUCUCGCUACCCUCUUUCUUUGGCAGAUCCUAGCUUCUUAGGGACUAAAGGCAGGAAGUCACCUCUUCUGUCUGACUUUAACUUUCUCCUUCAACCUGGCUUUAAUACUAAAGUGAUUCAAAUAUUUUUAGCAGAAAAACCAACCCAUCCCUGGGAAAGAGUGGGCAGAGAUGGUCUAUACCACACUCCAGACUCCUGUGAGAGAAACCUUUAAGCACCCAAACUACCUCAACCUCUACCUCAGAUGACACCCUUCAAUACUGCUAAAGCCAAUUGCCCAAAAGCAAUUUGAUUACAAGUCAAUCUCUGCCGGUGUUUUGGAAAAUGUCUAUGGAAACAAUUCCCUCUUUGAGCUAUCCCCAUCCAUCCCCAAAGGGGGAAUUUCAUGGAUGUCACACAGCCUAUAUUUUAAGUCAGGCCAUCAAAAUGUACUCUUCAAAUAGGAUGAAAUCUAACCAGUUGUUCUUCCAUGAUGUACUAAAAGGUAAACAGACAAACUUCUAUGCAGGUGGGAAAGAAACCAACAGGUAAGUCAUUCCUGUAAAAAUUUCUUAGCUCAAAUUUUAAGAAGAGAGAAAUGCUGGGGAUGAUAGGAAGGAUAGGCAAAGGCAUAAUUGAGAUGACGCUAUAAGGAGCAAACUCGGAGCUGGCCAGGUGGCGCAGCGGUUUAGUUCGCACUUCUGCUUCUCAGCAGCCCAGGGUUCGCCGGUUUGGAUCCCGGGUGCAGACAUGGCACCGCUUGACAAGCCAUGCUGUGGUAGGCGUCCCACAUAUAAAGUAGAGCAAGAUGGGCACGAUGUCAGCUCAGGGCCAGUCUUCCUCAGCAAAAAGAGGAGGAUUGGCAGUAGUUAGCUCAGGGCUAAUCUUCCUCAAAACAAUAAAUAAAUAAAUAAAUAAAUAAAUAAAUAAAUAAAUAAAGGAGCAAACUCUAAUGCAUAGCGGGAGGGGAGGGUGACCCUCAGGUCACAUACAUGAGGACAGAUCGGGACUGGGGUGGACUGGAGAAGAGUAUAUGUCCUUAUAAUGAGAGAAGCAGCUACCCAGCUUCUGCCACUUAUGGCCACAGGGGUAUGCUGGCCCAAUGUUGCCAGGUUUGUCUCUAUAAUUUCAAGUAUGGUUAUUCUAAGUCUCACAGUUCAAAUUCUUGAGAGAGAAAAUAUCAUCGACCAACCCAGCCUAAGGACUGAUUCUUCUGGGAUCAGGUGCCUACACCUAGUCCAACCAAUUUUGUCUCGGGGACCCAUGGAGGGCCGGAUCGCACAAUCUAUUGUCUACCCUGGAGGAACUUGGAAAGGGCAACCUGAUUCAUGAAAAGGGGUUGUGGGAAGGACUAGUGCAGCAAAGCCUGCCUUCACAGACCUAAAGGACAAAUGAUAGACUCAUGACAGCUGUGCAAUGAUUUCUACUGGGAAACAGAAUCUUCUCCACAAUCCCUCUGUGCAUAGACAGUGCUGCAUUGCAUUCGCCACUCUGAUCCUGCCCUGCUUGUUUAAGCCAAGGUGGGCACAGAGUGUAAAUAAUGAGGCUGCAUCCUUGCUUCUCUAUACUGUUAUUAAGGAUGAACAGACUUGGAAAAGAGGAAGCUGCCUCAGAAGCAUGAAAGAUGACUCCAAAAUAUACAAUGCCACCAAAACAUUAUUGUCACAUUCAGAAUAUCAGGUUUGCAUCAGGAGAGAUGUUUUUCUUCAAACUACAGCAGCGUGUAUGUGAGAAUGUUCUGCUGCAAAGUGAACAUGAACAAUGUCCCCAAGAGAGCAAUGAAGCUCUCAGCCAUGGACAGCCGACCUACUGCAGCAUCUUUGUAGACUCUUAGCUUGGGAAGCUGAGGCCAGGGCCUGGGGCAGGUGCAUUUUGGUGAGGAAAAGGAUAGGGAAGACUUUGGAGUUGUGCCUCCCAGAAACAGUAUAAUCAGGAUCUCACUUCAUAGAUCGGGAAACUGGAGCCCAGUGAGAUUUAGAGUCUAGUGUCUUUAAAUAGAACACGGGCUUUACUUCCAGUCCAGGGCUCUUCAAAUGUUUAUAGCAGGCUCUGGUUUGAGGUGGAAGAACCAGAGAGAAUAUGGCACUUGCCUAUAAAAGCUACAUCUUUCUGUAGUCGACUUCCAAACGAAAGACAUUUUCGCUUGUCAAAAGUGGGCAGUCGGUGCUUUGAAAUACAAUGACUGAAGGGCAAUGCUCCUUGACUUGACAGAGCCUGUUUAUAAUUACAGCAUUAGCACACACACACUUUAAUUAAAAAUCUUGAAAAGGACCUUAGCUGUGUUACGAGACCUAUACCAAAAUCCUGUCUGAGGAGUCACUUUCUAGCCAAACUCUUAUUUUCAGAGGCCAGCCCUAAAAAUUUCUUAGAUUUAUUCUCUGAUCAAUAAUGACUCUUCGGCAAUAUCUGAAAGAGAAAAAGCCAAAGGUACCUCACUCAAGCCUGAUCAUAUAACACUGUUCUAUCCCUACUCCGACAAGCUGCGGUUGAGGGGCAGGGCCGUCGAGCCCGGUGACUGUCCACCUUGCAGAAACUUGGAGGGGGGGCACUAUAGUGGUCCAAAAGAUCGUCUGGCCCAGCUCUGUCAUUUUACACAUAAAAAAUGGAGACUUAGAGAGGUGAUUGUCCAGGGCCAAUCCAGUGGCAGGAGGGCUGGGACAUACUAAUAGCCACUCUAGAUAAUCACUGCUCAGGAAAAUGAGCUGCUCAGUCAAUUGAAAAAGAGAUAUAAUUUUGAAAUUACAAAUAUCAUUCUCUAUUACUUCCCUGGUUGUGCUCCUGAAAACACCAGUUUUCUAGAUACUUGAUUUAAUAAAUAGAGAAAGGAAGAAAGAAAGAGAGAGAAAAGAAAGUAAAUGAGUUCAUCCAGAGCACAUAAGCAUGAGAAAUACUACAUACCAUAUUCCCUUCUUGGAGAUUCACGUCACACGCUAGGGAAUCUGAGAAAGAAGCCCAGCAGGAAAGAAAUCUGUUUAACUCAAAGCUCUUUUUCCAAGUCACAUCUAUUAACAUCCUACAGACCCGGUGUGCUAGGAAACGUACGUUGGGACAUCCUAGCUUAGUGAGAAGGGAAAUGAACUUCAAAAUAAUUGGGCUGGAAAGUAAAGAAAUUGAAACAGUCUGGUUCAUGUCAAGCAAGAGUUCGGAAAUGGCACCAUGUCAUCUUCAGUUUCUUCCCCUGGGUCUUUUACACUUGGAACUUGGAAAGAAAUGGAAGAUAAAGGUGUCCUUCAGCAGCAAAGAUAAAGAGAAUAAAUCUUUUUCUUUAAUUUAGCAUUAAAGGUUUGUGUAAAGGAGUAAAAACACAGACCCACUCUUCUCCGUAGGUAUUUGAGUCCCUACUAGAAAUGUAAUGCUUAGAAUUGUAUUUCCGCACAUUUAUAACUUCUUUACCGUGAACUACCGUGAUGUUCUUUUCCUUCAAAGCUGGUAAAGUUACAUUCCUACCCAGAAAAUGUGAGGAAAUCGCAUUUGACCUGUAAAUAAACUAAUUUGAAAAGUUUUUUUAAAAUAUUAGAGACUUCAAAAAAAAGAUUGGGUGUGAAAACUCCAAAAGUUCCAAAAAAAUUCCAAAGUGUGAAAACGCGAAAUUUUUAUACUCAAAUGAGUCAAAAUAGAUGAACAGAAUGCUUCCAAACUUUCUAAAAAUAUGCACCUUCAGGCAAUAAAAAAAAAUCAAUCUAAAGGGUCAUUUAUUUCAAGAACCUAAAAGCCCGACUUAGCACUCCCGUGAUCCCCCACAGCUGACUGGAUCUGGGAAAGCAGGGCUGAAGAAAGGUCAUUCAUACUCCUCUCUAACCCCUUAAUGAUAUGUUUAGCCAGGCUAAUUUUAGACCUGUCGGAAGCUUUUGAUUCAGUUAACCAUACGGUGUUGGUGACAAGACUGUGGUCAAUGGCAGGUGUGGGCUGAGCUCCUUUUGAAAUCAGUUGGUGAGUUCAUUCCUGGAAGAAAGAUGUCAAUACACAGUUACAGGGAACUGCUCAUGAUCCACACACAUCUCCUAGGAGGUCUUUUCUCUCCUCCCUAAGUACCCAACAUGGGCAAGAGAUCCUGGGAACCAUCAGUGGAGGCAAUAACAUCUUGCUGAUCCUCAUCUCAUUAUAGUCUUUUCUACUGAUCCAUUCAACCUGUCUUAGCCUUUGGCUUGGCUUAUAGUUAUUUUGGUUUGAGCAGGAAGUAGCUGGCUUCAACUCAACCUGGAUAGGCUGAGGUUAUGAUCCUCAGUCCUAGGAAAUGCUUUACAGAUAUCAGAGGUGGAUCUGUAUCAUAGCUAUUCAGGGAUAGAGGCUGACUGACUGGUCUUUUAACAGGUGCUUGAGCAUGGACAAGAAAAGUCUCUUUUUUCUUGGAUCCAGAGAGGCAUGUGCCUACACCAGCUUCCCAAAAAAGGCAUCAUUACAUUUAGCCACCCCUCUGGUUCAUAUAAGUUUCACCACAGUAAUAUCUACCCUUUUCUCUACUUUGCUAGAUUUUACAGUGGAAUUUCAUUACCCUACUAUUCAUUAAAGGGAAUUUCUUUAGCCCUUUGAGUUUUCGUACCAAUCAGUUCAAAUGCUUUCCAGCCUCUCAGGCUUACCAUGAAUGGAUAUUUGAUGCAGUGUGUGUGUCUGCUCUAUAUGUGCUCCAUAAAUCUUUCUAUAGCAAAGAAAACAUCAAUGUUAUGCUCAAGAACUCAACAGCCUGAAUGAAGAGGAAAACGUCUUUAGUACUGUCUCUUACUAGAUUUCAACAAAUUCUGAUGCUGUAAGGGAACUCAGGGCUAACUCAUUUUCACCCUUUCAUUUUAUAGAAUGGGAAAGCAAGACUUCAGUUUUCUCAAUGGACAUACUAAUUCAGCAGAACCAGAAGAUUUCCAUGGAGCAAGAAAUCUAACAUGAUCUUUCUAAACUUUAUCAAUCAUUCACGGUCCUCACCAAGGGUCAUAUAGUGUGGAGAACAGGAGGAAGACAAGGGAGAUAGGAAAGAGACAAAGGGUGAAAAAAUUAAAUGAGAAAAAGAAAGUCAGUUAGUGGCUUCCUGUGAUUUUCUCAUUAUCACCCUUUCUUUCCAACUAUUUUUUAAAUUUUCUCUUUAGCCUCAUCAGAUAAUCCAGAUAUCAUCAAGUUUCACUGGAAAUCCUUGGUCACCCAUAUGCAGGGGACAAAAGAGGAAGAGACAAGUAUAUAUAAGUAAACCCUAUUUUUCAGCUUUCGGACUAUAGAUGCCUCAAUGGUUAAUAUUGAAACUGUGGAUUUUAAAUGCUCAUUUCAUUUGGUUGUCAGUCAUCUACAGAACAUCUGCCAUGAGCUAAGAAUUCUGCUGUACACUCUAAGAGACAUGAGUAUGAAGGAGACAUAGUCUUGCCUCUAAAAAUUUACAAGUUAAUAAGAGAGAGGGAAUAUAUUCCUCCUGGUUGCAAAAUUCUAAGACAUUUCACACUAACAAUCAUAACACAGAGAAGAAUCAGAUAGGGGCCCUAAGAGAAAUUCAACCUGAGUGUUAUGGGAGUCCAAGAAGGAGUAUGUCAUUUCUCAGUGGCAGGAGCCAAGAAAUCUUCAUCAAAGUGGUGGGAUCUUGAGCUGGGGCUUGGAGGGUAGAAAAGACUUAAACUGUAAGAGGAUACUGAAGAGUAAGCCUCCUGAGAAAAAGGAAACGGCUCAAAGGCACAAGAAUAAAGAUCUGCUUGGGAAAGAGCAAGUGGACCAGCUUGGCUAUAGCAUGGGAUAGAUAAAUGACAAGAAAUGCACAGCUGGAAAAUUUUGUUGGAAGCCAAAUUGCAGAGCAUCUAAAAUGAUGAACCAGAAAGCUUGGUCUCAAUUCUCUAGGUAAUGUACAGACACUGAAAAUUUUUUGAGGGCUGGCCUUUAGGUAGAUCAACCGGCCACAAUGAAUUGGAGUGAAAGACACUAGAGGAAGGGAUCAGCAUCUCAGGAUGAGCUAAAUGAGUGUAAAAGCACCCGCAGUGAGAAUGGAAAGGAGGCAGAUUCACUAGGCAUUGAGGAUGCAGAAAGGGCAGGAAUAAUUUGGGGUGAAGGUUGAAGGAGCAUUUCCUAGGGUACUUGUGAUGAAAACAAAAUUCCACUCUGUCAAAUGGAUGCCUGGAAGCAUGAGAUUUUGAACUUACUACUGAGAUGGUUUUACCACUGCCUGAUAUUGGUUGGUUGGUUGAAUAAUUUUGCUUGUUGUAGGUUAAGGAUAUAUGUGGGUUUUUUUUUUUAUUGUAUUGUCCCUUCUGUGUCUUUUAUGGUCUAGAAAGACCAGAAUAAACAAACAGACAUUAGAUAUCACAAACCCAGACCAAAGAUCAGAGGAGGUCUCAUCAUCUCCUUCUUGGUGUGUAAAUACAGCAAGAAAUACAUAGUGGUGGACGCAUGGCUAUUAAUAUAAAGGAGACAAUCUAUUACAAACUGUCCAAAUCAAUAAUUAUACUUUACCAUGUCCCUCCUAUGUGUCAAAUUAUAUUCCUGUCCCCAUCCAUUUUUAUAUCAGAGAUUCUUUUUAAAAAUUGACUUCAUUGAAUUGGUAAAGAACUUGCUUAUGGAAGGUCUUCUAUUAAUAAGGGUGCAAUCUUCACAGUCUCUACCACUUAUUCACUGAGCAGCCUCAAUCACCUAGUCAGAUGCUAUACAACUUGGGGGCAGAUAAUAAUCGCCCUUUCACCUUAUUUAGCUACUAAUGCAAACACAUUGUGACCAUCUUCUUCAGACAGUCUUCCCAGAUAAACUAGAAGAGACCUGACUCCAUGUCAUUCUCAGAGAGCUCUCUAUCUGAUUUUGAUUUUAUUUUUUCCUGCACUCAUUCUUCUGGCUACCCACCCCCUACCUCAGCAAACAUUUAGUGAGCACUUGGUAUAUGCCCAGCACUGGGCGCAGGGAUGCAGAUUCAAAGAUAAAAGGCAACAAUCCUUCACUUUGUGUAAAUAUUAAUGUAAGGAACUCAUUUGCCCUCUGGAACACCUCACCUUGAAGACAGGAACCAUCUCUACCUAAACUUGGUGUCAUCUAAACAUUAGCUCUCCAUAGUGGUUAAGCACGUGGACUGCGGAGCCCUAGAGUAGGAGGGUGGCCAGUGCCAGCUGGGCACGUACCAGCCGUGAACCUGCAUUCAGUUGGUGAAGCCAGAAGUUCUCUGCCAAUGCUGUCACCACCCAGGUCUGUGGUGCUGAAGGCCCAAUCUGAAGCAAGAAGUGACACAAAACCACUGCUGCUCCAUCCAGAGAGAGUUGCUGGUAUGCAAGGCGGGUUGCAGGAUUGAGCCCCCAGUGAGGAAUAAGUAACAGAAACCAUAGAAGGCAAAUAAAAUAGAAAUGUGUUUCUCAUGCAAACACUCAGAGCAGUUAAAACUAAAAUAAAGGAAAGAAUGAAAUAAAAUAGAAAAUUGUGGAGGGGAUUUGGUGAAACACUUUAAAAUCAAAGACCAUGCUUUCCUUUCCUUAUUCUGUGAGAUGCUAGAUCACUGCUUAGAUGAAUUUACAGCUGUUUCCAACAUUUAUGUGAAACACAACAAAGAGCUGGACUCUGGUUGCUGAGCAGGCUAUACCCCAGGAGGUCGGAAUGCAUCACUAAUUAAAGGGAGGCUGCAGAUAUUGGUAAUCUGGGAGCUGCAGGCACCCCAUACAUGUACCUCUCCGAGCCAGAGCAGGUUGCAUCUAAUAAGGUUUUCAAGGUGACUCUGUAUUUCUUCAAUGCUCCUCACCCUCAACUUCCUCACAGGCAUUUCUAGCCAGUUACUCCACAUUCCAGGGAAGGCAUGAUCUCCUUCAAACACCAUGCCUAUUUCUCGAACAUUAUCCGCAGAAACAAAUUUAGCUUUGUACAUUACAUCAUCACCUCACUGCAGAUUACAGACCCAGAAACUAUCUCCCACAUGGACUAAGGUGAUCCGGGGAGCCUGGGGCACCAUUCUGUCCAAAUUGGAAGGGGGCAGAGCUUCUUGCUGAGCAGAUGGUCUUGAGCCCAGCAGAUCUAGGAAUUCCAUUUUAUUUUUGCCUUUAAACAUGCAGAUAGGAAUAUCAGACCCAGAAGCUUUCCGUGCUGCACAAUUUAUGCUAGCUCAUUACCUCCUGCUACACUCCAAGGCUCUGUAACGGAAAUUGGCUCUGAUUUCUGAGAUGGGCAUUACAUCAUAGUCUUCUUUUAGCACAUUAUGUCAUCCCUGCUGAGACCCAUUAUCUAGGGUUGGCUCAGCAGUAGCGAUUUUUGUGGGCCGACUGCAGCGUUCCCAAAGAACUGCUGGGAACCACAGAUUGCAAUCUAAAACAUUUAUCUUCUAAAAAACUGAAAAUGGAGAAAGAUGUUCACAUCGGACCCCAUUUAUUUUCCUUAACCCUCUGCUGUCUGAGAGCCUUUUAGAGUACAUUGCGGCAAAUGCCAAUGAGCAUGUGCGGAGCCUGUGCAGAGACGAUCAUCUCGAGAUAACCACUGCUAAGGGUGCCUGGAAUAUCGCUCCUCAUCGAGGGCUGAUAUACUCUACACUUGCCAUGAUUCUGUCUCAAGGGAUGUUACGAAAUGCUUAAAAGGAGUCACCUUGCAUGCUCACAGUGACAACGAGCACCCUGCCUAAUUCUUGGCUUAUUUAAGAAAAAAAUUUCUUCUCAUGAUCUGUUUAUACAGAUAUAAAUAAAAACUAUGUACAUACAUGUAGUUUUUAUUUAUAUAUAUAUGUAUUUAUAUAUACACGCUUAUCCUCCUAACCAUGUUGCAGUCACAAAGGCAAACUUCUAGAAGAUUUGUAUUAGAAAUAAUUUUAUGCAGAGAACUGAGCUGAUAUUAUCUCUUCUCACUUCAAUCAUGAAAUUAGAAGCCCGUUCUGUAUCUCUCCAUCCUAGGCAGGAUUAGAAACCAUUGCACAGAGGGAAUAGACGGGAGCUCUCAGGAUGAAGCAAAGAUAUUCCCAGACCCUUGAGAAUCCCCAUACCUCUCUCAUCACAAAAGCAUAAAUAUGAUAAUAAAAAAAGUCUCUACAUCCCGAAAUGAGAUGAGAUACAUUCAACCAUGGCUAAAUUACAAUCCCCCUUACCCACCGACUAAUGAGACUCAUUGGGAGGGAAGUAAGUGCUGGGGGAGGGGUUAGAAAGGAGGCUAUGAUAUUCCCUUCCCCCAUCCAAUCAUGCUGCAUUUUGUUUUUCCACGGAUUUUUUUUAACCGUGAAUACUUUUAUGCUCUCAGUUUCUUUUUGUGGCUCUCAAAUGGCAGCCGCAUCCAAACAAACAACUUCAUAAUUAAAAUGGAGGUAAGUAAAGCUAUCAUUUGGCCCCAUCCCAGAGCCUUGCUCCUACUUCCACCCUCAGUGAUUUUCCAUCAUGUUCUUUUCUAGCGCUCUCCUCUACACCCAGUGGAUCAUAACGCAAGAUGGCAGCCUUCAUCCUUCACUCAGCCCGGGGCAAGGCCAUGUGAGCAGUCUGAGCAUUCUAACAGGGUUUGGGACACCUGGCCCCACAUUCAGGGUCUAGAAACUUCCUGGGUGACAUUCAGCAACCAACUGAUAUCCCAUCUUUAGCACCUCUUCUUUCAUAUUUUAUGUCUGCUGCCAUUUGCCACUUAUCUCCUAGAGGGGACGGUGUGAGGAUUGAUGGUCUGAUCCCACAAAGGGCUCGAGGCUUUCAGACGGGCGAUGCUCUGUAAAAUAGUAUUACUUAAUAGCUAAGGACAUUUAUAAGGAUCCUCUUACCCUUCUCCUUCCUUUCCUUUGUCCCUUCAUCUCCACCUCCUCCCUCUCACUCUAGGAAUUUUAUGAUCAGAAGGCCAAAAUGCUUUAAAUCUUAAUAACUACAUGUGCCACUUGGGAUACUGAAAGGAAACUAUAUAUGCUCUUUAUUUGACUCAUUCAAAGCUUUUACUGCAGCCAAAGUAACUGCUCCACCAUUUAAAAAUUUCACUGAAAAGGCAAGCAGCCUUCAACAUGUUAAGCUGAUGUUCAUGUAAGUUGUGAAAUAUUAAAGGACCAGGAAUUCUAUCCAACAAUGAAAUUACCUGGCCCAACCACCUCCUUUCCCUUUGGAGGAGGCAAGAAUUCACAUGGAUUCACAUCCUGAAGGAUGUAUGCCUCCAUCUAGGUGUCGGCUGGCUAGAUACCAGCUUCUGAAGAUACACUGGAGAGGGGACUGAGCCUUACUUCUCUCUCUGCCUCCAGUGCCCUCUGUGUCCCAGUAGUUGUGCCUAAUCCUGCAAAAAAAAGGCUUUCAGGAUGCCCAGAGGUCCUCAGUCCACUCCCAAUCAGGCCAACUAUAGAACAGAGCCACUGUGCUCUUGCACUUGUAACAGGACAGUUACUGGCCAUGAGAAUCUGAGGGAGGAGUUCUUGUAGAGAAGAGGAAGCUGAACCCAAAAUCUGUAGGUGGUUUCUAAGAGUAAGUACAUACUAGGGGGAUCACAUUGCACAGUAAGAAAUCAACUAUUCCCUAAUGGAUGUCCCACAAUAAAGGUGGAGAGCAGGGGUGGCCAAGUCAGAAUGAGGAGAUCAAGCACAGAGCUCACUGGCACCUGACAUUACAAUAAAACCCAGGCUUGGAGUGAGUAUAGAAUUCUGGGCCUGGCUUCAGCCUCCUUCGCCAACUGUCUUGGCACCAGUCACUACGCUCAGUGGCCUGACAGAGGGGAACAAAACAGUACGGACCUUUCAGGCUUUCCUAGGCAGAGGUGGGGAAUUCCACAGCCUCCCACCUGCCCAGAAUCACUGUCAGGAUCACCUAACGCCUAGAAAAGCAGCCAUUGGUCUUAUCAACGAUGAUCUCAAUCCUGCUGUCUACAGCAAUGCCAGGAGACCAACUGUCCUCACCGGUUGCUCUCUGGGUGCCACCCCAGAGUCCCAUUACCAGCCCCCUGGGGGCUUGUGGCAUUUCCUAGGCUAUAGAGCCUUCCAAACUUCUUAGAGUUAGCCCUCAACAGCUCACCUUCAGACCUGUUUGUUAGCAACAGCAAAAAAUUUCUUUUCUGUAAAUGUAAGUACAUCAUGAAGAUACAGACUAGAGAAACGUCGAGGUUUACUGUUCAGACCCAAAAAGGUUCUAGAGAGAACUGCUUUAUCCAGCUUUGGGGGAAAAAAAUUAUACAAGUUCCCUUACAAUGUGAGUCCAAACUAUUUCUGGUCAAGAUCCUUCUUAACUUCUGGGAAGUUUGCAUCCCCUUCACCUUUAUUCCUGGUCCAGGCUGAGUACUUUGCCUUUCCCUUAAAAUGUUUUUCCUUCCGGGAGGAUUUUCUUCAUGAUCUCUUGUUUACCCCUUAACAAAUUACUACAAUAAUAUUAAUCUAGUUAACAAAAGUACUAGAUUCUCCUUAAUCCUGGACAAUAGAACUAGGUAGGCUCCAUUCAUUCAUUCAUUCAUUCAUUCAGCAAAUAUCUAUGGAGCAGGGUCAACUGUGUGCCUAUUGUUGUAAAAAGUGUUGUGGAGAUGAAUCAGACAUGGAUUCAGCUUUUCAGGCACGAGAGAGACCACAGACAAGCUAUGUUAAUAAAUAUAUGACAGAGACUGCUAGAUUUUCACCCAAGUUCCUCCUCAUAUUCCUGGGUACACAGCUAGAUAUACUUUCCAACUUCCUCUACUGUUAGGUGUGGCCAUGUGCCUGAGGCCUGGCCAAUGAAAAGUGGAUGGAAACGAUACCACUCCCAGUGUUGCGCCUGUGAGAUCAACAUGCUUCUUCCUCCUUCUGGCUGUUUGGGAUGGCAAGAUCACCAAACCCAGGAAGUCAUGUGUUGAAGGUGGCAAAGCCUCAGACAGCCAGAAUUCCUGCACGCCCCCUUGGAGGAGAGCUGCCCUUGUGGCCUAUUUAUGUUCAGGACUGGUACAAGAGCAAGAAAUAAACUGGCAUUGUGUGCGUCCAUCACAUGGUUGGGUCUGUUCAUAACAACAGUCAGGCUGUUCUAAUUAAUGUAAAUGUUGAAAUGAUUUAUUGAAAUGGAAAGAUAUUCAGAGUGUAUACUAGGGUAGAACAAGUUUAAAAACCUAUAGUGUGAUAUCACUUUUUAAAAGAAUAUGUAUAUAAAGGUACUUAUACACCAUGGAGAAAGUUCUAGAAGUGUGUACAACAAGGUAUAGGUGUUUAUCUCUGGAGGGUGAUAAUACAGCUAUGGCUUAUCUACAUUUUCUGAUAUGAAAUGAUAUGAUUUUAUAAUUAAAAAAUGAAAUCUAUGUUUAACAUUAAAAAGGAAAGUAUGUCUUGAGAUAUAAAUACAAAGGCACAGCAUCUCAAAGUGGAUAAAGAUUUCCUGAGGGAAAUUAGGAAAGGCUUCUCAAACUAAGCAUUUAUUAAUGACCCUUCCAACACUGAAAAUCUAUAAAUUAGCUACAGCCUGAGAAAUAGAACAGGUCAGUUAUACAACAUUCCUGGUUCCCAGCCUUUAUGUAUUGAGGUCUUGUCAAUGGGGAUCAAUUCACCAGAAAGGAAGGACGAGCUAAAUCUUUUACCUUUACAAAGUGCCAAAAACUAGUCUCAGUGGUUGUUUGGGGUGAGGGAGAGGAAUGAAAGAGAGGGCAGUAUUAAACGAGUUAGGGGAAGGAAAAAGGAUCAUACCUACCUUAUACCUUUUUGUGCUUUUUCAAUAUUUUGUUAUAGGCAUUUAUUACUUAUCCCAAAAAUUCAAAAAAAUUUUCUUUAUGAAUUUUGUGCUAUAAGAAUUUAUUGCCUAUUUUUUUAAAUCCUAAGUUCUAUAAUCUUUUGUAAAUACUAAGUCAGAAAUUCUCCUUGAAUUGGUUAAGUGCAGAGAUAGAUGCUAAGCAAAUAAACAAGUCAUAAUUUACCAGCUGAGUCCUACAAAAACAUAGCUCCAAUUAGCCAUUGUGGCAAAGGUUCACCUUUUUAUGUGAGAAGAGCCUAAAUAUGUCCUCCCCAAACACCAAAGGAAAGGACUGGUCAGUGAAGGGUCACCUCUGCUCUCCUCCACACAGUCUUCAAAAGUGCCUGGAGAAAGAUUUUGGUGUACAAACAAGAGUUGGAAACUUUGCAAAACCUCUUAUGUCAAAGUCUCAACCCCCGUUCUUUUGCUGUGAAGACUCAGAGGAGUGACGGUGACCCCAGAGAGGAGGGAUAGGCCACCAACUCUCUGGAUCAAGGAAGAGCGUUGCAGGUUGAGGUCCCUGAAAAACAGACUCCAAGAUGGAGAUUUGCUCACAGGUGGCUUAUGGGCGGGGCUCUUGGGGACAACACCAGCAAGGGAGUAAAGGAAGCAGAAUUAGGCACAAGGAGGAGUUGAGCUGUGACACUGUCACAACAAAGGUGUCAGUGGAUCCCACAGGGCACUCUGGAGCUGGGAUGGCCCUUCAGAAUUGUCCCAAGCUGGAGCUAAGCCUUUAAAUGCCCUCAGGGUCUGGGGCAAGCAGCUCUCUUCAGCCAGUUUUCUGGGAAGAACUCAGUUGUGAGACAUCAGCAGGCAAUACUCCCAACAGCUGGGGAGACAAAUGCCCAGCGUAGGGCGACACGCUACAGCAUCCACUACAGAGUGGCAGGGGGAUGUCAACCCUUCUGUCAGUCUAUAUCUAGUUCUCAAAAUAUCACAUCACAAUUGGCUCCGGUUAUUCCUCUUUGAAAUUCCUCAGCGGCUUCCUAUUACUCAUGGGAGCAAAAAAGAUCUUCCUAAGCAACAUUAAUGGGCUUUUCACUGGCCUAGAGGCCAAACCCCAUGGAACCUAGGAUCCAGUCACCCGGGGCUACUCACCAGUCCCAGAAAUUACCGUCCUUUUUCAUGGCUCUAAGCCUUCAUAUAUGCUCUUCCUUCUGCUAGAAUGCCUUCUCCACUCUUAUCUUCCUAAAAAACCCUUAGUCAUCCCUCAGUCCUCAGGGUAAUUUCCGCUGGGAAACAUCCCUGGCUCCCCUGGACAACUCAGACUACUUUACUCCAAGUUUCCACUGCGUUGUAUGCAUCUACACCACCACCCACAGCAGCCCGUGCAUAUACCAGUUCUUCACGUCUGUGUCCCGCUAGACUGGAGGCUUCUUGAAAACACAGCCAGAUCUUUCAUCUUGGUAUCCCUGCUACAUAGGAAGUAUUAGAUUAAAUGUUUGUUGAAUGAAUAAAUAAUUCAACGUGGAAGAAAUGGUGCUGGUGGUGAUAGCUCCGUCAAGGAAGAGUGGAUGAAUUCUGAUAAAUUGGUGGAACAGGAGAUAGAACUAGGGACACAGGGAGAGGCGAAGUGUUUGUAACCAGCCAUGUGCCAGAAACAUUUGGCUUUUAUGUCAUCUUUGGUUUUCAAUCUCUAUUGUCCAGCUACAGCUUAACAGAAUGGAGGGUACAUCAGGGGCUCUUAUGUUGACAGCAAAAUUGCUUUUAGGGUUCAACAACCAGAAAGUCUCCCAAGGAUGACUUUAAGGAAGGAGUGUUAGGCUAUGUGGACCCCUGGCUGAGGCUAUGACUAAACAAGAUUGUGGGUCUGAAGAAGCAUUCCCCUCUCUGCAUAUUCUCCUGAAGAAUCUCUGCCAAGGACUAGAGGAGCCCCCACACAUGAAUAACAUAUUCAACUUUUCUUCCUCAUGUUGAUCAACGACGGUGUUAACGAGGGGCUGGGCAAUGGGGCUGUAUGAGCUGAGAGUGUUUAGCCUUCAAAAGCCCUCAAAGGAGAACAAGGUCCCAGGUAACAGAUAGAAGGAAGAAAGGACUUAAGUCAUCCUGGAGCUUCCUGGUAAGGAGAAAGUGGAAAUGCAGGCUCUCAUCUUUCUUUUUUUCCUAAGAUUGGCACCUGAGCUAACAACUGUCACCAAUCAUCUUUUUUUUUUCUGCUUUUUCUCCCCAAAUCCCCCCAGGACAUGGUUGUAUAAUUUUUUAGUUGUGGGUCCUUCUAGUUGUGGUAUGUGGGACGCCACCUCAACAUGACCUAAUGAGGGGUGCCAUCUCUGCGCCCAGGAUCCGAACCGGCGAAACCCAGGACCAGCGAAGCGGAGAGCACGAACUUAACCACUCGGCCCCGGGAUGGUAUUCCACUAACCAACCAAUACCUGUUCAUUGUGGAUCUCGCGCACUAACCCUGGGAUCUUUGACAGCAGUGCUGUUUCUUCCACAUGCUGUUUCUUCCACAUCAAUGGACCUUCAGCACCUACCACAGUGCCAGGCCACCAAGCCUGAAGUCCACUUAUGGAUGAGAUCAGCUCCAGCUCAAGAUCAAACUCUCUCCAGACGCAAGAUGGAAAAGUCCCAUUAGCCAAACCCUGGGCUGAGCUUCAAGAAACAACAAUCUGUUGUUGAUUCUUCUCUAUACUGGAAACAUAGAAAAUACAGAAGCUACCUAACCCCCAGGCCACCAAAAACCUAUGUUUAUUGCCAUCUGAUGCCAUCCUACCCUACAUGCACAGUGCCAGGGAAGGGGCAGCAAAAUAGCCUGGUGCCCCAACUCUGGGUCUUUUCUCCCUUGCUUUCAGAGCAGAACCCAUCUGAGUGAGAAUGAUUACCUUUUGUUGUUGUUGUUGUUAAGGUCAUACUGACUUAUAAUAUUGUGUAAAUUUCAGGUGUACAUUAUCAUAUUUCAGUUUCUGUAUAGACUGUAUGGUGCUCAUCACCAAUAGACUAGCUUUUGUCCAUCACCAUAUAUAUGUGCCCCUUUACCCCUAUCACCCCCCACCACUUGCUUCCCCUCUGGUAACCACUAACCUGUUCUCCUUAUCUAUGUGUGCAUUUAUUUGUUUAUCUUCCACAUAUGAGGGACUAGAUGUUUGUUUCAUUCUUAUCAAGGCUUGGGAAGAGGAUCGGGGGAAAGUCUCCUCAGAAAAAGAGUCUGAAAGAAGAAGUUGGCAGAAUUGCAAUAAACACAGGCAUUAAAAAAAUCUAACAGCAUGAAUCUGUUCACUAGCUGGAAAGAAAAUAUCUCAUAUAUUUAAGGCAGAGCAGCGAUGUUGUAUAAGUCGAGGGUGACGGGUAACUAUUCACUUCAUAGUCUAUGUGAAUGCUGCAGGGCACAAACUGUGUAACCAAACUUAGACAGCCCCAAUUCACGAUAUCUAAGUUAGAAAAGUUCCUGUAAUAAUUUCCACACAGAUGUGGCAGUUUUAGGCUAUGGAAACAUUUAAGUUGUGGAUUAUUCUGUAGAAAAUUCUUAGUGUACAUAGCAAAACCCAAAUUUCCCACAGAAUCAUACCCUAAAUUAUAACCAGGGGAACCUUGGAGGUUGUCUAGAUCACCCCCUUGAUUUGCAGAUGAGGACUGAAGGCCAGAGACAUAACGUGUCUUGCCCAAGGUCAGUAAGCCUCUACUGAAAAGGUGAAACAGACUUUCUCUGUUCCCCAUAGAUAGCCAAAAUAGGCCGCUUUGCUGUGAAUGGUAUUCAGCCUAAACAGAACCAAAAUUGAGUCUUAUUUGUCAGUAUCAUCAUUUAACAUUUAUUGAGCACCUUCUAAAUGCUAAGGCUUGAAAAUACAAAAAGAGUGCCUCCAAAUGACCCAGUCCAUGAGGCAACAGUAGGGCAGAGCUUUGCACCAAUCACACACAACCUUUGGUCCAGGAAAUGAGGACUUUUCUAGGAACAUUUCAAGGUGCAAAGGUAGUGUACUCUUUCUUGAGCCAUAAAAGGUUAUGGUCUAUUGAACAAAUCCUUAUUUAGGCUUUUUUUUUUUUCAAAUGUGUUUCAUCUCCGUUGAAGUUGACCAACUUCUUUGAAGCUGCUUUGGUUUAUUGGUUAAAUAUUUAUUCUUUAAUAUAUUUAAAAGCCAUAUUUACACAAUAUACUUGGAACCACUCUAGACUUUAGCAUAAUUAUUGCCUACUUAAAAUCAGGCUAUCCAAAGCAAGAAAAUCAAUGGCCAUUUACAGGGAAAAUGGGAAACUGGCAGGUUACUGAGGUUGGCCCUUAAUUUAAAUCUUAUUUUUAACACAGCCAUUCUACUUUUUCUAAUGGAAGUUUUAUGCGUGCUUGAAUUUGUGCUGUGAGACUGAGGUGGGAGGAUAAAGAAGCUCUUUUAUCAAAAACCAAUGAAACUUAACCACUUUAUGGACAAGCUCUUGCAAAUCUCUUACUGAAAUCAGACACGUUUGAGUUAGUUAUACAAGAGCAGGGCAGAAAGCACCUGCUGUCACGUCUGUUUCUCAUUUUGUACUCGUGUGACUCAGAUGCCCUGUGGAUUAAGUGAAAUGUGCUCCUGAGCUGCACUCGUGUAUACCACGUGCCAGCUCAGUUUGAAGGUGCAAACAGGAGCUCAGAAGGUGCCACUCAAUCACGUAGCUCUGGUUUUCCCCAACUGUAACGUGAACACGGGAGUCAUGUUAUGCAGGCCUGAGUCUCCAGCUUCGCUGUAAGCAAGAGAUACAGCAGAACUAUGUUUCCAUUUAAUGGUGCUCCCCCACACCCAAACCCCAUAUCAGUUCCCAUUUAAACUUCCACGAGGGAAGGUCAUGACAUGGAACGAGAAGUGCUGUAAAUCUUACACGUUGACAGUUGAUGACCUGUGCAUGAAUUUACAACUAUGUCCUGACACAGAAAAAGGAAGCCAACCAGAAUGCAUGAUCCAACAUCCCCAGGCAGCCAGCUACAGGUCACACUGUUUGUAACCUACAUAAAUGUAUGAAGGAGUCCACAGGUCUGGAGAAAUUGCAUUAGGGUAAAAUUAGUAUUCAGCUCUUAUGUUAAGACCCCAAAUCAAAUUCUUUCUUUUUUAACCCAAAGAGGGCUCUUUUAAAUAUUAGCACUAACAAGGAAUUCUGGAACUUGCCUCUUUGAUCACAUUUUAGAAUAUUAGCUCCUUGUCGGCCUCUUCAUUUGUCCUAUUCAUUCAACAAAUAUUUGGUGAGUCCCUACUGUGUGCUCUCAAGCAUCAAUAGUUAUAAAACAGCAAGAACUCUGCUGUCAUGGAGUUUCCUUUCUAGAUGGAGAAGGGGAGAAAUUGGCUUUGAACUAGCUUAGUGAAGGCGUGUUCCAGUUAAAGUCAAGUUUCCAUGUGGCAUUCCAGAUUUACACAGGAUAAAUUGGGAUGUGAUAAUUUGCUUCAAAAAAAGAUUCAAUAUUUUACCAAAAAAAAAAAAUCACAUAAGGAUUCCCUUUAAAUCUGAAACUCCCAUAGCACCCCCACCCGAGUCAUUUUAUUGAUUCUGGAUUUUUGAAGACUCCACUAAGUGUUAGAGUGUCCGUGCACUGUUCUGGAGCAUCCCCUAAUCACCACCAUGGGUAGACAGUCACUUCCACUGCAUAGAAGAAGUGCCCCAAGAAAGCAUCACUUAUUCUAGAGUAAAAAUACAACCCACUCUGAAAAGAACACUCACAAAGGCUACAGACAGGCCUAGGGAGGAAAAGUCUUAGGAACUCCAGUCCUGGUGUCUUCUCUGGAGCCUCUCUGCACCCUCUUCUUUUAACAACUAGGUCAACGGCAAAAGAAGUCUGGAGUCGAGGGGGAUUGUCUUUUCAGUUUCUCUGGAUUUUUCUCAUUGACAUGAAUGAGGGUAAUAUGGAGAAAAACAAGCCCAACUAAUACAGUUUAAAAAAUGAACCUGCUGAGAUGAAGACAUCAUUUUUCUCUCCUGACACUUUCAACCACUUAGAUAUUUAAUUAUCUGUCACCAGAAUCUCUCCUUGUGAGCACAAGCAAUUUCACCCAUUAGCAAUUAGUGAGAACAGUUCCUCCACUGAGCUUUUGUGUGAGAAAAUAAAUAGGCAGCUGCCACAUACAAACACACAGACUUAGAAGAAGUGAGAAAGAAGCUGAAAAGAGCAUUCCUAAUAUUACAACUGGCCUCUUGUUAUGUUCCCCACAUUUGGGUUUUAUUGAUCAGUGACCACAUUCUCCUCAGGACCGUUGUAAUGCCAGGAAGCUUCCUGGUCCAGCUGCAGAGUGGUUAGUUGGCAUAAAAAAUUUUUUUUUAAAGAACCAGCUCUACCCUACCGUAUUCAGAAAAGUUAAUGUUGUAUCAUUCAUUUCAGCUCCAAAAGUUGAAAGGCCAUCCUAUUUAAAUAGAGGAAGCAAAAGUGAAGCCAGCCUUGGGUGUUUCCACAAGUCUUUGAAAGGCUACCCAAGAAGGAUUCAUACUGAAAGCCUUCAUAGUAAUUAGAUACGUUUAGCAAAUACAGGUACAAAAGGGUAUUCAGAAGUCAAAUGAGCGAUUCUCCAAUUAACGAGCUUUGCUUGGGAAUAAAGGAUCAUGCUCAGUGGAGUGAGUGUUGCUUAAAUUAGCCCUAAAGGAGGAGUCUUCUUAAGAAAGAGAGGAAUAUAUGUACAAAUAAAAUGAGACCAAACUGGGAAGAAAUUGAGUGUUGUUUUCUGUCCCAAUGUUAGAUCAGUCCAAACAGAUGAUAGCCAAAGCCAACUUGCCAUAUAUACGUCACAGCCCUAGCUCUGCAAGGUCUCUCCUGGCUGCAUCUGGGUUUCCAUUGUGCCUGAGACUAGGUCCAACACCCAGUCUGUGUUGCAGUUCCAGAAAAAGACUUUCUGAUUCCUCUAGGAGAACCUGUGAUAACUGCCACCUGACACACUGGAGAAUUGCACCUGACCUUCAGGGGACCAGGAGUUUUUUUGCUGCUAUUUAGAGCACUCAGAGUUCAUCUUUGGCUGAGACUUGUACUAAAUAGCAACUGUGUAACUACCUUGGCAGAAUGUGAGGCACAGCAUCAUUGUUUGGGUCAAGUAGAGAAACUCAAUUUACACUUAUCGACAGCAGGCCACUCCUCCUGACAGGAAGCACUGAGCAGAGAUGUGCCUGGGGUCCACAUUUACCCAACUUCUCAUUACAAAUUACCUGUCCAUGUCUGACUUUUAUUCAUGCCACCAUUUUCCUCGACCGAUUUGUUUAUUUAAAUAAAACGAACUGAAGGCUAUUUUCAUGGGAAAAAUUUCCUUGGGCAUACUCAGGUUACUGACAACUCCCAAGAUAAAAAUCAAGCCUUGAAAUAUUGGUACUCUGACUACAGACCGCAUGGCAACAGAUAAAAAUCUUUGAAAAAUCACUCACAAAGGUCAGGAGAUUUAAAGUCCAUAUAUCAAAAUGCAAUCUAUUCUUAGGAGGCAGCCACACAGUAAGAAGCUAUAAGCCAAUGGGUUUUAUAAUGGCACCACGGCUGUUUAGAGCUGCCUUCCAAGUGCCAGGUGUGAUACCAGCAGUAUGAUGCAAACUCCUAUAUUCCAAGUAACCACUUAGGUCUUAUGGUAAAAUAAGAUCUCAAAAUAGAUCCUUAAAAAGGGAAAAAGUAGACAUUGACUUCAGCUUGAUAUUGUAAUUCCUAACGAAAUCUCUCAAAUCAAUGGUGAGGAGGUGUACAGAAAGACCAACGCCAUUCAUGGUAAGAAUCAUUAGGAAUUCAUAACAAAAGCAAAUACAAAAAGAUGAGAGGAUUGGGGUUUCGAGUAGGGCACACAGACGUGUGCUUCAGAAAUGUGGCUUAUUCAUUUAGUUUUCCUAUGUCCCUGUUUCUUCUGUAUGUGCUAGUGGAAGUAGACAAUUUAGAAAACUUUCCUGAGACUUGCCUGGACAUCAUUUUUAAGACCUUGGGCUUACUGCCCCUUUUCAUUGUUCCACAUUCCUCUCUUGUUUCAGCAUUGUUUUUCAUUGCCUAGACCAAGACAUUGGCACCAGUUAACUCACUCUGAAAUUCAAAGAUUGAAAUGCAAAAUUCUAUUGAAGAAUUAGGGAUGGGUUGUCCUAUAAUAAUGUGAUAGAACUUUUUUACUUUAUGAACUGUCCCAAUGUAGCAUAUCUAAAAGUAUAGCACCAAUUCUAUAGAACACUGUUUCAAACAUCCUUAGAAGGGUCAGGAUACAUUGCUCAGAAAUUCUUGAGAGUGAAUCAAUUAGAUGAUUAAUUGAUUCUAAUUAUCAGAAAUUUUUAAAAGUCUAUCAACUCUACUAGCCAUAUUUAUACUAAUCCAAGUCUGAGGUAUUUCCUAGCUCUAAAAUUCCACAAUUCUACAAUUCUGGUCAUCAUUUUUUCCCUCUAUCCUUCUAAGAAGGUCCUAUCACGGGGGGCUUCAUUUACCAUCCCGAUCUCUAACUCCUUCUCUUUAGUCCUCUGUAUCUCCACUAGAAAUAAGGACCAACACAUUCUUGUUUAUGGCAACUCCAUUUUCACAGUGGACAUUAUUUUCAAGGAUUGUAAAGUAGUUGCCAUCAGUCCAUCUGACAACCUCAAUCAAGAACUACUGCUUCGAAAGCAGAUCAAUCCGAAGGGGUCUCCCGGCCAAACCGAAAGGAAGAGCUAAGGAAAGUUACCUGCCCUCUCUACAAAUGUCCUGAUGUUAUUUGAAGAUUACCAGUGCCUACUUCACAAUUUCAUCGUUGUUAAUAUCAAUAAUUUUAGACCUAUUUCACACAUUUGCUAGUGUUGCUUAAAGAUGUUGGGAGAUUAUAAAGAUAGCACUAAUUCUUGCUUGAUAAUUUUCCUCCUUUUGCCCUAGAAUGCUGAGUGAGAUGUCAUUUUUCAAGAAUAAUUCUGAAAAUUCAACCCUGCUGAAACUUCCACACACAGAGUUAAAAGGCUCAAACAGUCAUAGAUUCAAUUUAGCCAAAUCACAAUCAGAUUUGAUACUCUAGCCAGACCAAGCAACAGACUGACUGAGUGACCAUUAUUCAUAGACAUCUUUCCUUAUCACACUUCGUUAACACCAGGAGAGUUUUUAUUUCUUUGUCUUAAUCAUGCAAACAUUUGGAGAAUUUAAUUUAUGCAUAGAAUCACACUGAGUAAUCCAGGUCUGAAAGGUAAUGUGUGUUAGCUUAUAUUUGUUGGUUUCUGUGAGGGAAAUGGCCGCUUUCAUAGACAGCAACCUGAGAAGCACAAUGCUUACGUUGGUGGUGUCUAGCACAUGGUUUCCAACCCUGGGUCCUUGGUCAGCCUCCCCUCCAGUGAUCUACACAAUCUUGCUAAGGAAGAUCACACAUAUCAUUACUUUAUAUAUCAGUUCAC